GAGUAACAUCUGCUCUCUCUGGUCCAAUGCGAGCCCAGAACGGCUGCGCGCCCGCCUCGCGUUCCGAACUCAGAGUGUGAGGCGCUCGGGAGACUGCAGGAGCCAGGGCUGCCCGCCGAGCUGCAGUUGCCGCUGCUGCCGCUGUCGCUCGGCUACCGCGAUCGCUGUCGCUGUCAGCGCGGGUCUGAAGAGUGACAGCGCCGCAAAAGCAGGAGUGAGCCCGGAACCCAAACAGGUGUAUGCGCCCAUCGCCUGGUGAGUGGAUCCUGCUCGCAAGAUCUCAGGUAACCAUUCAUGAGCCUGAGGCUGUGAGAAAUGCUCACUGUGCAAAGGGGGACUCUCAACAGAUUUUCUGAAGCUGUCCUAGAAAUACACUUUUCAGAUUGAUUCAGCAUUACCAGCUUAUCCAACAAAAGUAUUAACAUAUACAUUAACAACGUCGAAAGUAGCCUACUUUAAGAGAAAAUAUGCAGAAGAAGAAGAUUUACAUCAAGAUUACCAUGGGUAUUUUCCAAAACACCUGAUAUUACCUGAGGAUAGGACUUGCAUUCUCAAACUUUCUCUGGAGAAGCUUAGGUUUCUUGAAGACCCAGAAACCUAUUUAAGAAGGUCUGUGUUAAUUAACAAUUUGCUGAGGAAGAUACAUCUAGAGACGGAGAAAGAGAGCUAUGAAUACUUUAAAGAAGCUCCCUGUUAUAAAACUGCUUAUUCUGAUACAAGAAAACGGCUGAAGUUUAUGGUACAGGAAUGCUGUUCUCAGUCUCUCUAUUAUGAAGAGCUGCAUUCGUAUCAUAUUGUGCCUUAUGCGUCGGAGAAUACCAUUUAUGGAAUGGGCUACACUAGCAGCCACUUGGAGCAGAAUUCUCAGUUGCUUAUUUAUAAAAUGAAUUAAAGUGACUGUUAAGUUCAUUGAUACUUUGUUUCUAAAUGCCUGAGUUGUUUAUAAUGAAGAUGUUAAUAUAAGGCACUAAUUGCCAAUGCACUUGAGAUCAAAGAUGAGAUGCAUGCUGAACUGAUUGGAGAGAACCCUGGUUAUUAUUCAGCAGUCCUUAUUAUUCAGCAGUAUCAUCAAGUCAAAUUGAAACUAUGUCCACAUGUUAUAAAAUUGGUGAAUGAGUGCUUUAGAAGCAAAGAUCUCUUUUAUUUUCAAGAUAAGAUAUGUAGGAAGGAACUUAAUAUCAAGUUGUUAUUACAGAUUUAAAACUUUCAAGCCCCCUACUUCCUAAUUCUGCCACUCUUAGAAAGUAACAAAAAGAAACAGACUAAACUGAUACUGUUGUGUCCCUGAGGAUUAAGGAGGAAUGAAUUUAAUUUUCUGUAAAGGAUGAGAGGAAGAGUAGGCUCUUUCUAAAACACUUUAGUUUGUCAAGCAUUGUGCCAAAUAAUUGACACCAUUCUCCUUUUACCAUUAGUGUCAAUACAAGAUGGGGCUAACAUAUACUGUAACUUACCUGCUGAAUGAAACACCAGAUUACUCCAAACUGAUCCAUUUUACUCCUUUUUUUUUUUGUUUUUGUUUUUUCCUUUUUUGGCUUGGUAGACUUUUCUCUUUAAAAGCAAGCUAUAAUAAAAAUAGCCUUGCAGAUGGGCUUAUCUCUAAAUUCUAGGGUUGUUUAAAAUGUGCUGGACCAUUACUUAAGACUUUAUGUUUUAUUUAUGAUAUCGUUUUUUUGUAGGCUGUGAAGCUCAGGAAAAUGGUAGGCAGGUAAAAUUUGUUUUUAUGGGCUGAUGAUUUAAAAAAAACUUAUCUGCAAAAAUGAAUGAGAACAACAGGAAUUCUAUAUGAUGCUAUUUCUUUAUCCAGCCAAGAAUGCAUCUAAGGCUGCCUGGCUGAAACUUUGCACUGAUUGUUGUACGAUAUCAACUAUUCACCAUUUGAAAAAUGUUCCAGAAUGUCUUUGGUGGUAAAGUUUAGAAACAUCCCUAUAUUUUGCAAUUUGAAAAAUAAUUAUUUAACAAGUUGGAUAGAUCAUGAAAUUGUUUGAAGUGGUUCAUAAAGUUCUUUGAGGUUUGAAUGACAUGUCUGAUUUCAGUGUCUGGAGUUUCGUCCUAUGGAGCAUAUCAUUUAAAGAAAUGUCAUGAACUGAUCAAACGGAUUAGGAAAACUAGGUGCCAAAGGUAUAUCCAAGAAAAUACCAAAGACCCAAAGAUGAGUGUUUGGAGACUGUGAUAAUGAAUAUAACCAUUUGAACUGAGGAUUGCACAGGUAAUUAGAAGAACAUUGUUAAAGGGUUUUGGAAUUAUUUGCUUACUAAUGUGCUAUCAGAGCACUUUACACAUAAUAAUGAUAAUCAAGGGCACUGCUUUAUAUGAAAAUAUUACAGGCCUUCAGUAAUCAUAUGCCUUGGCAAAUUUAAAUAUUGUGACUUGUUAACAUAGUAUCCCUCUCCUUGAAAGUUGACAUUACCAAGAAUGCCUUUUUCUAUUUGAGAGAUUUUUGUUUUUAGUUGUGAUUCACUACAUGCUCCCUCUAAUGAGCCAUGUGUGAUUAACGUGAAUGCAUUUUGUAUUAUUUUGGUGCCAUAAUUAAUAUGCAUUGUCAAAGACCCCGUGGAUAUAUAAUUGGUAAAAGGGUCAGGUUUGUAUUUAAUCAUGCAAUCAAAAUUAGGAACAGAAUACUUUUGAGCAAACUGAAAAAUUAUUAUUAAGGUUAAUAUUGUGGGAAAUUUAGUAUGAAUGCUGAGAUAGCUUUGAAAUACAAGUACAAAUAUUUUAAAGAGUCAGAGAAAAAUUUGGCACCAAAGUUUAAAAACUUUAUUUCUCCGCUUAUGAAAUUCUUAAUUUCUCAGAACACAUCUUUUUAAAAAUAGAUUUCUUAAGCAACAGGAAGAUUCACUAUAUAGACUCCAAAUUUAAUAGGAGAAACAAUAGUAUAAUUUCUUAAGUAGAAUUAGCUCUCUAAUAAUUUUAAAACUUUUACUUAAAGGGACAUUUGGCUUGCUUUAUGACAAUGUCUGUUAAAAAAAACAUACUAAUUUGCAAACAGAUGUGACUUUCAAAAGACACAUUGAAAUUGGUUGAGGCUAGAAGUAUAUAUGCCUUGGAAUAGAAAAGAGAGGGAGAGAAAAGAUUACAAAGAAAGUGUGAAAUUGUAAUAUUUAUUGCAUGUUAGAAAUCUUAAAGCAAGAACUUUUGGGAAAUGGACCAGUAAUAGCUGUAAAAGUCUGUUUUAUUUGAUGACAUCAUUAAUCUUGCUGGCUGAUCUAUACAUUCAUAUGUAAAGAAGGAACUGUCAGAAUACAGUGGUAUUUGUGAAUAUGCUUUUUUUAAAAAAAAAUUGUGCUGUCGUCAAAACAGGUUAUUUAAUUAAAAAAUUUGUCUUUCAGGGCAUUCAAUUUUUUUUCCAAUAAACAACUCAUAGAUAAGGAGUUGACUAACGCUAUCUUGAUUUAAAAAGAUAAUUUGCAUUUAGGCUUUGUAAACUUGCCUGAAGUAAGCAACAAGAUUACUGGUGUUUUACUUUGGUGGCUUCAUAUAGACCUGCUUCAUUAUGGAGGGCACGAAAUGUGGGAGACCAGGUAGGACUCUUUUGAGCCUGUGGAUCCUUUCUCAGGUGACAAGAGCCAUCCUUAGGGGAAGGAAGAUGGGAUGGGAGUUCUGAGUGCCUUUGGUACCACUGAUCACUUUUGUGGGUGCUCAACCAGCCCAAAGUACUAAUAAGGGAGAAAAUUAAAAAAAAAAAAAAAAAAAAAAAACAGGUAGAAAAGGAAAAAUAAAGAGGAGAAAGGAAGACGUGGAGAAUAAGGAGCUGUAUUCAUGAGUAAGAGAGGAAGUUGUUUCCUGUGAAGGGAGUGCUUGCUUGCUGUACUCAAUUUUGCCUUCCGGUGUCUCCUCUAGACCAAAACUGUGAUGUCUACAAUGUGUUGAUUCUUUCAUUCACCAAGAAUGCGUCAAAUUAGAUGUUAUUCUUGUGCUAGUUGAAAUGUGGAUAUUACUGUAAAAUAUUCCUGAGACUGUACUCCUUGGGUGAAUGAGCGAAGGAAGAAUAGAAUUCAAGUUGGGGAAAAGACUAAAUGUUAAGUCUGGGUAAGCAUGCGUAAGCUCAUACACAACAUCAGAUUAUUUACAAAUUCAGGGAUAGAGGAUAUGGAAAUAAAUGCAAUUCAACACCACGAAUGAGCAAAUACUAUGAGCAAGACCCUGGGCCAGGAGUGGGAAUGCGGAGGUAAAUAAUGUACUGUCCCUUUCCUCAAGAAACUCCGUGAUGAAGAGGAAUGUAGGGCUGACUUGGUUUUACUUUGAAAGGUAAGAGCUGUUUACUGGGAGCAACAUCUGCAUUUCUCCUUGUCGAACUGUGGGAGGGUUUGUAAAGGUAUGUCUCCCAAGGUGUUUGUGGCUGAGAAGAUGCACAGGGAGAAGGGAAGAUUUACUGAACCCAGAUUUUAGAACAGAAGGCAUGUAUGUACACAUUCUGCUUUGAAGCAUAUCUUAUACUUGGAAGUAUAACAGAAAGCUGGCAUUGCAGAGAGGAAGUGUGGCUACCUUUAGCUCAUCCCUGGGACUUUGAGAUGUGGGAAGGUGGGGAGAAAGUCCUGGUACUAGUACUUUUAUGUUCUUUUAUGGGGGAAAUCAGAUUAAUAUUAAUGUCAAGAAAGCCUCAAAAAAGAAACAAUCUCAAAAUCACAGCCUGAGAGAUGCAUGCUAUGCACAAGGUUAUAGAGGGGCAGAUGUGUUUAAUUUGCCUUUGACUGGUGUACUGCUUGAAUGACUCUCAGGAUUUCUUAACACCAGCUACUGGAGGCACUCCUCACUCUCCUUCUGACUUCCUUUCUGAACCAUAGCCCAAUCCCUAGUCUGCUGUCCACUGUGAAUGGAGAUUAUGGUUCUGAUUUUUCAUUCCCUUCUGUCCUCCAGCAUUGGUACUGACUUGCUCAAAAAUACUGGGAGGAAAGCAACAAUUUGCAGUUAUGGCUAAAUCUCUUUUGAGAAGGAGUUUCCAGGGUGUAUAAUACUAGUAAAGUGGUCAUUACGGGCUUGGCACAAUUCUUUUAAAACUAUCCUACUUAGUUGUCAAAUAAUUGUUUACUUAGCUGAUUUUCAUGUUUCAAGACUUCAGUGCAAUAGUUAACAGCUGUGUAUGUUUUGCUAAAGAAAUACCUUAGGUUGGAAAACAAUGGAAGAUUGUGUGUAAUUAAUUCAAGCAGUUCAUGAAUAUUUAUGUAUUACGUGGCAUUUUAAUUUACAUAUUCCUAUUCUUAAACUUCAUUGCUAUACACCAGCAAUGUGAAUCUGGGCUGGGACUCGAGAGCUUGUGUUUCUCACAUCUGCUGGUCCGUGGAACACACUUUGACUAGCUAGACUUCACCUAGCUUUGAGAAUGAAAAUAUACACAAGCCUAUGUUGUUACUACUUGCAAAUAAUAUUUUUUCCUGUCUCUUUUUACAGGUUUUUUUUUCUUUAAAGAAAUAAAAGGUAGAGGUAAUUUAAAUAUCAUUCAACCAUAAAACUGGUUUUCCAAACUGGCCACAAAGAUGAAAAUAUUUUACAUAAUCUAAUACAUAGAAAAAUCAUUUCUCAUAAAAUUUAUCCACACCAAGUGCAGAAAAGGAACAUGGAUACAUUCAUGUCUCAUUCUUGUCACCCAGGAAAUGAUGCAUGGUAAAUUUCUCUUCUUGAUUUUCCCCCUUAAUUAUAUCCAGAAAAGGGAACUCUGGUAACACUAGAGCAAAGAUGAAAUUUUGUUCAAAGUGAAGAAGAAUUUGGCAAUUUCUUGCUUGGUCAUAUCUGAGAACAUCUUAUAAAGCCAUACUAUAUUAAAUUCAGAUUUAUGGCUGACUGCAUGAGAUGAAGAUUUUGGUAAAUCUGAUCUGACAAAGUGGCACUAGGAUCCUUAACUUCCUGUUCUGAACUCUUUCUUGAGCUUCAUUCUAUGAGAGAUCCUCCCUCUGCAAUGGACUUCCUGUCUCUCCUCAGUUGUCAGGGUCUGAGUAAGGGGUGGAGGAUUGGUGUAAUUGAGAGAGUCACAUAAAUUAUCUAAUUUGAGCAUGCCAACUGAUCUUUGUGAGGCUCUCUUUAGGUCAUAAAUUGUUGGUAUGGCUAUUGUGAAAUAUAGUGUCAUAAACCAUUAAUGAAGAAAGAAAAGAAGAAAUUUACUUCUGUGGGAAUGCACUCAAAUAUCAAGCAGAUGGUGUUCUACAACAUUUAUUUUGGAAAAUGUGUAUCUGUUACAUAAUCUAAAAUAUGUCUUUUUCACAUGUAAAAUAUUUGGGUAAUGAUUUAGAAUUUUUACUGGAUUGUUUUUUAAACUGUGAGGAAGAAGAAAGGUAACUGUAUUUUAAAACAUCUUUGACAUGAUACUAAUAAAAUUUUAUU